AUUGAACGCUGGCGGCAGGCCUAACACAUGCAAGUCGAGCGAGAGGCGGACGGGUGAGGAAAGUGUGGGAAACUGAGAGAUGGAGGGGGAUAACGACUCGAAAAGGGAGCUAAUACCGCAAACGAUCAGAUGUGGCAAGAUGGGAUGAGCUAGUAGGUGGGGUAACGGCUAUCCUAGGCGACGAUCCCAAGCUGGUGUGAGAGGAUGACCAGCCACACGGGAACUGAGACACGGUCCAGACUCCUACGGGAGGCAGCAGUGGUGAAUAUUGCACAAUGGGCGCAAGCCUGAUGCAGCCAUGCCGCGUGUGUGAAGAAGGCCUUCGGGUUGUAAAGCACUUUCAGCGGGGAGGCGUUACCCGCAGAAGAAGCACCGGCUAACUCCGUGCCAGCAGCCGCGGUAAUAC
rnacentral:rRNA from 1 species